AACGAACACUGGCGGCAUGCCUAACACAUGCCAGUCGAACGAGACCUUCGGGUCUAGUGGCGCACGGGUGCGUAACGCGUGGGAACCUGCCUUUAGGUUCGGAAUAACUCAGAGAAAUUUGAGCUAAUACCGGAUGAUGUCUUCGGACCAAAGAUUUAUCGCCUUUAGAUGGGCCCGCGUUGGAUUAGCUAGUUGGUGGGGUAAAGGCCUACCAAGGCGACGAUCCAUAGCUGGUCUGAGAGGAUGAUCAGCCACACUGGGACUGAGACACGGCCCAGACUCCUACGGGAGGCAGCAGUGGGGAAUAUUGGACAAUGGGCGAAAGCCUGAUCCAGCAAUGCCGCGUGAGUGAUGAAGGCCUUAGGGUUGUAAAGCUCUUUUACCCGAGAUGAUAAUGACAGUAUCGGGAGAAUAAGCUCCGGCUAACUCCGUG
rnacentral:rRNA from 1 species